rnacentral:rRNA from 1 species
UACAGGGGGGGCAAGCGUUGUUCGGAAUUACUGGGCGUAAAGGGCUCGUAGGCGGCCAACUAAGUCACACGUGAAAUCCCCAGGCUUAACCUGGGAACUGCGUGUGAUACUGGAUGGCUUGAAUCCGGGAGAGGGAUGCGGAAUUCCUGGUGUAGCGGUGAAAUGCGCAGAUAUCAGGAGGAACACCGGUGGCAAAGGCGGGUCUCUGGGCCGAAUGAUUGACGCUGGAGGAGCGAAAGCGUGGGGAGCGAACAGGA